UCCCCCUCACGCGGGUUUCCUUUCUCCCGAGACCUCUCUCUUGCGAUUUCAUCUCGCACGAUCGCCGGUUGCCACGAACUCACCGCCGACAAUCGAUCUCCUCCGCCGGCGUACCCUCGGCCGAGCCUCCCUCCCUCUCCCUCUCGAUGCGUGGAGUGUUUCUCCUCUUCCUCUCUCGCCACGGACGACCCGACGCCGACGGCUUCCCCAACGAUCAUGGCUUCGUCGCGUCACCAGGGGGAAAGCGUCACCCGAUCUUGAUGGCUCUGACCAUCUCCGAUGCAGCGAUCUCCUCUUUGGCUGUGCUGGCACACGAGGCAAUGACUCGGCGGAGCUAGGGCACGGCAGGAGGGGGGGGAGGGGGGGUUGGCUCGCGUUCCCAGCCGAUUGAUGGUCUCCUCCUCAGUAUGAUCGCUAGGGAUUGUUCCGUAGCUUCACUUCUGUUGGAUUGGAUCGGGCAACAGCAUCGGAGGUGAUCGAUCAAGGAGGAGGCGUUGGAUCAGUAUACUGUGGAUUUUCUUUGAAGUCGAUCAUUGCAUUCCAUUUCUUGCGGCUGAUUUCGGGUUUCGGCUGAAGAAUUUGGGGGCAUUUGAGGGGUUAUUGGGUGGCUAUCGGCAGUAGCUUUGCUGUAGCAAGUUUCUCAGGUUGUGGGUUAACAAUAGUGCCAUCAAGGGGAAUAAGUCAUAGAGGCCAUUGGAUACUUUAGCUCCGGCCACAGUUUUCUUGCAGGGGGUGCUCUAUCAGUGAGUUAACAGCAAGUAGACAGAUAAAGCUUCUUGGCAGUGAGUUGUAGGGUUGCUGAGCUAUUGGAAUUGCUGCCAUACUUCAAGACUUUGUUUCGAGGUGAGCGUCUCGACGUGGGAUUGGUCUAUUUGACACGGUCGACAG